UAUAAAUGGGGUUAGAGUUUCAUAUUUACCAAGAGGCUGAGUCAAAGUCUCAUAUUUCUUAAAAAUGAGGUUGACUAAAUUGAUGACAUGGCACAUGAAUUAUUACUGUUUAAAACUUGUGGUGCCUAAAAUGCCCUUCUCACUAUUCCAGCACAUUUACCUUAUUGCCCCCGUUUAAUUUAGUCACUCAACUUGUUGCCCUAAAAUACACAGUCACAAAUCCAGCGAAGCAAGCCCAGGCAAACACAGCAUCACCGAACAUGGAACCCUAACCCUCCCUCAUCUCAUUCGUGAAGAGCCCUUAAGAGUCCUCUCUCUCUCUCCCCCCAUCUCUGUAACAGGAUUGAAGCGUAGCCGUUGAGCCCUAACCCUCAUUCAAGCCCUCUCUCUUUCCCCCUCUGUAACAGCAAAGCACUUCUCCACGUCUAACCGUCGUUGGUGCGCCCUCUCUGUAACCCAGCGAAGCACUUCUCCACUUCUGCCAUUCAUUUAUUGUUGUUCUAGUAAUAUGGACCAUGUGGAAGCAAGUGGCAGUACGUGUGGUGCCUACAGGCUUUUUGUUGGAUUUCACUAGUUAGCUAACUAGCUUGUGCCAAGGUGUGUGAGUUUUCUGGCAGCUGGAGGGUCGUGAAAGCAAGGAGGUUAUGGGAUUAUGUGACAAUGGACGGGCUUACAUGUUACAUGCUUACGGAAGGCUAGGAAAAUAACAUCAUAUUAAAGUCAUUAUGACUUGUUUCCUCACUAUUAAUUCCUUGGAGCUCCCCUACUGCAUUAUGACUGUUAUUUCAACCACAAUUUACCUCAUGAGGCUGAAUGGAUAAAUCAGUACAAAGGAAGAGUGUUCAGUUUAAACGACAAGCCUGUGGUGCAUAAAAUUUGGCUGCCGAAUGAGGAAUGCCCCAGAUUGGCAAUGUCUAGAGCCUUUGGGGACUACUUUAUUAAGGAUUUUGGACUUAUAUCCGUCCCUGAAGUGAGGUGUUGUCACAUAUAACCAGCAGAGACCAAUUUGUUGUGUUGCGAACCGAUGAGUCUUCCCGCUAGGGGCUGGGAAGAGAUAACAACGGGAGCGUCGAUUGCAUGGCUAUCAAGUACAUCAAAUUUGAAUUGGACACAAAAAUGUCGCGAUUCCCUCUCUCCGAUCAGAAACUUCGAAGGCAAAAUUUGUGCGAAAAAGUAUGUGUUUCCAUCUGCUUGUGUGUGUUUAUGUAUGUUCGCCAACCAAUUGAUAUUUUCGGCUUUCUGUUUCGUUGCAAUGAAUUCAAGAAAACGAGAAAAGUUUAAAUUCUUUUAGCUUUUGUAUCGAAUUCCUUUUGAUUUUCUUUCUUUUGUUUGUCUUCGUGAAUUUGUUGGACUUUUGGAUUUACUGUGAACUACGGUUUCUUCGUCUACUAUUUGAAUGUUUCUUUUUUUUAGACGAUAUCUAGUGUUGUUUGCAAUAUCUUUAGAUUUUUGUGGUUGAUGUUCCCAUUAAUUUCUUGGAUUUUGAUUUUUUUUCACGUAAGGGUUUCUUUAGCAUAUUUGGAUGGUUUAUUGUCUACGAAUAUGAGUUUUCAGGAAUUUAGGGUUUAUUUGUUCAACUUGUAUAGAUUCUGCACGACUAUAAUUUUUGACAUCAUUAGAUAAUUUUUUGGAUGGUUUGGAUUUCCAUGGGAUUCAACAUGAAGAUUCAGGGAAAACACACUCAAUAUGUUUUUGUUUCUAUUUGUAUAAAUUUGGAUUUACGUAGUUCUUUCUUUAUUCAGAGAAAUAGACCCAAUAAAGUUUAAAUAAUCAAUAGGUCCCAUAA